rnacentral:misc_RNA from 1 species
AACGCACAUUGCGCCCUCUGGCAUUCCGGAGGGCACACCUGUCCGAGCGCCGUCGCAACACUGAGCUGUACAGCUUGCGUUGGCGGACGACCUGCCAGUCCAGGUCGCCGCCCAAACCUCGACGGCGCCGCACCGCGGCCGACGACGCGCACACGCAAGAGUCGGGACCGCGGAUAAGAGCGGCGGCCUUGUUUCCACCACAAAGCUUGGCCUCGGAUCAGGUGGGGAUACCCGCUGAACUUAA